GGUGCUUCUUCUUCGGAAGAAGUAACCCGGCGGACGGCUCAGUAACACGUGGAUAACUUGCCCUUGGGUCCGGGAUAACCCCUGAGAAAUUGGGGACAAUACCGGAUAGGGCAUCGAUAGCUGGAAUGCGCGAUGUCCAAAAGCUGAGGCGCCCAAGGAUAGGUCUGCGGCCGAUUAGGUUGUUGUUGAUGUAAUGGAUCAACAAGCCUGCAAUCGGUACGGGUUGUGAGAGCAAGAGCCCGGAGAUGGGUUCUGAGAAAAGAACCCAGGUCCUACGGGACGCAUCAGGCGCGAAAACUUUACAAUGUGCGAAAGCACGAUAAGGGAACUCUGAGUGCCUCCUAUGGAGGCUGUUCAGGUGUCUAAAAAGCACUUGAAGUAAGGGCUGGGUAAGACCGGUGCCAGCCGCCGCGGUAACACCGGCAGCCCAAGUGGUAGCCACGAUUAUUGGGUCUAAAGCGUCCGUAGCCGGCCAGGUAAGUUCUUUGGGAAAUUUAACCGCUUAACGGUUAAGCUCUCAGUGAAAUACUGCUUAACUUGGGACCGGGAGAGGUCAGAGGUACCUCAAGGGUAGGGGUGAAAUCCAUUAAUCCUUGAGGGACCACCGGUAGC
rnacentral:rRNA from 1 species